CAGUAGCCGCGGUAAUACGGAGGGUGCAAGCGUUAAUCGGAAUUACUGGGCGUAAAGCGCACGCAGGCGGUCUGACAAGUCAGAUGUGAAAUCCCCGGGCUUAACCUGGGAACUGCAUUUGAAACUGUCAGGCUGGAGUCUUGUAGAGGGGGGUGGAAUUCCAGGUGUAGCGGUGAAAUGCGUAGAGAUCUGGAGGAAUACCGGUGGCGAAGGCGGCCCCCUGGACAAAGACUGACGCUCAGGUGCGAAAGCGUGGGGAGCAAACAGGAUUAGAUACCCCUGUAGUCCAUGUCUCUUAUAA
rnacentral:rRNA from 1 species